rnacentral:rRNA from 1 species
GAUAAACGCUGGCGGCGUGCCUAAUGCAUGCAAGUCGAACGGUUUAUUCUCUUCGCAAGAGGAGGGUAAAUAGUGGCAAACGGGUGAGUAACACGUGGGAAUCUGCCCGAGAGUGGGGAACAACUCCUCGAAAGAGGAGCUAAUACCGCAUACAACAGUCUCCUGGUGAAACGGGAAGACAAAAGACUCUGAGCAAUCAGGGCGCUCUUGUGAGGAGCCUGCGGCUGAUUAGCUAGUUGGUGGGUAAAGGCCGUACCAAGGCGAUGAUCAGUAGCUGGUCUGAGAGGAUGGACAGCCACACCUGGGACUGAGAUACGGCCCAGACUCCUACGGGAGGCAGCAGUGGGAAUAUUGCACAAUGGGCGAAAGCCUGAUGCAGCGACGCCGCGUGAGGGA